rnacentral:tRNA from 1 species
UGCCCGGUAGCUUAGGUGGUAAAGCGCUCGUCUAGCAUACACGAGUCGUGGGAUCGAAUCCCACCUGACCAC